rnacentral:rRNA from 1 species
ACUUAAAUUGAAGAGUUUGAUCAUGGCUCAGAUUGAACGCUGGCGGCAGGCCUAACACAUGCAAGUCGAGCGGUAGCACAGAGAGCUUGCUCUCGGGUGACGAGCGGCGGACGGGUGAGUAAUGUCUGGGAAACUGCCUGAUGGAGGGGGAUAACUACUGGAAACGGUAGCUAA